CUGCUGCCUUCCGUAGGAGUUUGGGCCGUGUCUCAGUCCCAAUGUGGCCGUUCACCCUCUCAGGCCGGCUACUGAUCGUCGCCUUGGUGGGCCGUUACCCCGCCAACCAGCUAAUCAGACGCGGGUCCAUCUUGCACCACCGGAGUUUUUCACACUGAGCCAUGCGGCUCUGUGCGCUUAUGCGGUAUUAGCACCUAUUUCUAAGUGUUAUCCCCCGGUGCAAGGCAGGUUCCCCACGCGUUACUCACCCGUCGCCA
rnacentral:rRNA from 1 species